rnacentral:lncRNA from 1 species
GAGUACAAUCUAAAGAGUUUACUUGAGCCAAAGUGAGUGGUGAGCCCUCUUGGGAAUGUUGGCAGGAGAAGAUGACUCCACACAUGGGCUGAACUGCAAAUGGAGUGCAUCAGAUGACCACCACCUCCCUAGAGCAGAUCACCCGUGGGCCAGCAGAAGCCCCAGACCUCAGCCAUCUUGGAGGAAUUAUGAGGUGUAUGAGAUCCAGAGUUCCGUCAGUCUCUCCCCAGCCACAGGCCGUAUAAUCCCCUCAUCCUUUUGGGGUCCCAGGAAGUCCUUCUUCUGGACCCAGAGUCCACCCACUUUAGAGUUGGUCCUGGGAUCUGUCAUCCUGCUCAGAAUCUGGGAGGAAGUGUUUAUACCUAGAGGAGGCCAGGAGGGCAUUGCAUCUCCCACUCUGUGGGCGUGCCUUGCUUUCGAUGUCUCCAGUGAGGAUCUGACUCCCUGGAUAGAAUGGAGUUGAGGCCCAGGGGUUGGCAUCUGCUUUGUUUGUUAAAAUAUGCUAGUCAUCUAUAAAAGUGCCUGCACAAAGUAAAUGCUUAACAUAUGUGUGUUUAGUGAAUGAACACCAACCAGAACCUUCCUAGAUAACUGAGCGUGCCUGGGGCCUCUCUUCUAGCACGCAGGGACUUGUAUUCAUAGACUGUAUAAAGAGCAUUAUCCCAGCAAAUCCUCAAAAACACACCCUCAUUUUAGAAAUGAGCAAACACAGGCUUUUGGAUGUAAGAAGGCAGCUCCAAAACUGCUCACGGGAACUACUGUGUGACUUUCCCUCUCAACUCCCCGAGGCUUGGUCUGCGCUGACACGGAGGAAAAGGACCUGGGGAGGCCUUGUUUCCUCCUCUGUUU